GUGAGGAAUAUUGUGCAAUGGAGGCAACUCUGACGCAGCCAUGCCGCGUGCAGGAAGAAGGCGCUACGCGUUGUAAACUGCUUUUAACCGGGAAGAAACCCCAGGACGUGUCCUGGGUUGACGGUACCGGAGGAAUAAGCACCGGCUAACUUCGUGCCAGCAGCCGCGGUAAUACGAAGGGUGCAAGCGUUAUCCGGAUUCAUUGGGUUUAAAGGGUGCGUAGGCGGAGCGUUAAGUCAGUGGUGAAAUCCUGCAGCUUAACUGUAGACUUGCCAUUGAUACUGGCGCUCUUGAGUGCGCUUGAAGUGGGCGGAAUGUGCCGUGUAGCGGUGAAAUGCUUAGAUAUGGCACAGAACACCAAUUGCGAAGGCAGCUCACUAAGGCGAUACUGACGCUGAGGCACGAAAGCGUGGGGAUCGAACAGGAUUAGAAACCCUAGUAGUCC
rnacentral:rRNA from 1 species